GACGAACGCUGGCGGCGUGCUUAACACAUGCAAGUCGAACGGAAAGACCCUGCUUUUGUGGGGUGCUCGAGUGGCGAACGGGUGAGUAACACGUGAGUAACCUGCCCUUGACUUUGGGAUAACUUCAGGAAACUGGGGCUAAUACCGGAUAGGAGCUCCUGCUGCAUGGUGGGGGUUGGAAAGUUUCGGCGGUUGGGGAUGGACUCGCGGCUUAUCAGCUUGUUGGUGGGGUAGUGGCUUACCAAGGCUUUGACGGGUAGCCGGCCUGAGAGGGUGACCGGCCACAUUGGGACAGAGAUACGGCCCAGACUCCUACGGGAGGCAGCAGUGGGGAAUAUUGCACAAUGGGCGGAAGCCUGAUGCAGCAACGCCGCGUGCGGGAUGACGGCCUUCGGGUUGUAAACCGCUUUCGCCUGUGACGAAGCGUGAGUGACGGUAAUGGGUAAAGAAGCACCGGCUAACUACGUG
rnacentral:rRNA from 1 species